rnacentral:rRNA from 1 species
AUGUCACACCAUGGAGUCUUCCCCGCAGAAAUUAAACCAAACUCUUGUUCUAACGAGGAGCCUGAGGAUUCAUCUUCCCCGUCGACAGCUCGGAAGUCAGAGGCGGGCUGCCCCUUGUCACUGCCGCUGCCCCUUGCCACUGCCGCCGCUUCAGCCACGCCGCAGAUCCGCCCUUUGGCGCUCACACCCGUGGCCUCCUGCAGCGUCACCUUGACCACUGUCCGCCUGGCGCCAUGUGCCGGCGACCCUUCCAGCACUAGAAUCUCCCCCAACCUCCUCAAUCAGAUUGGAUCUCCUGAUUGCAUGAGCCAUCCUGUCGGUCGCCUGUUCUUCCACUCUCUCCCCUCCUUGCUUCUGAAUCUCCAAAAUGACGGCCGCGUUGGGACAAAACAGACACACCUUGCAUUCAAUGCAUGGAGCAGCGACUUUUCUGAGCCACGGAGCAGACGGAAAUCGAGAACCUGA